CGGUUGGCAGGGAGGUGUAUAAAUAUAUUUGCAAAUGAAAAUGUCUGGAAGCCCUUCGUAUAAAUGAAACUGCUACCAGAGCCACUUCUUGAGAAUGAAAUUCACAAGCCAAAGGACUGGAGGACUCUAUGUUUUUGCUUUACAUACCUCGGUGCGGUUUGGCUUAAACACACUUAACACAGGAUACAUGUUACACACACGUAUGUAUUAAAUACCCUCAAAAACGUGAUACCAUUAAACAUCAUCUUAAAAUGUGAAGUUAAGAAACAAAGAAACUAGCCAAUUACCUAAAAAUACAUGGGGACGUGUGUCCUUGAGUGACGUCAGAAAGGAUGAACGAGGGGACAGAAUUCUAUCCUUUAUGUGUUCCACCUCUGCUUGGAGGACUCAGCCUCCUCCUAAGAAUCACGUUAAAUAUGCUUUCCUCUCUACACAAAUAAUUUGCUUUUGUUACAGGAAAUCCAGAAGGCAGAGAGGAAGGUAAAAAUUGCCUACAACACCAUCAUCCAGAGAUCACCACUAUCAGCAUUCUGGCUGUCUUUUCACUGUGUUUAUGUCAUUUUUGAAAGGCUCAUGACAAUCCACUAAGUUGAUUUAUGAAUAACUAAAGGUCCACGAUUCCCCAUUUGAAACCACUGCUCUGAAGAAAACAGAGGCUGUUCCCCUGCCUUUGGCAUCUCUAUCUCCCAACCUGCUGUGACACUCACUUUAACAUCCAGGGUCCUGGUUCCCGAACCAGCCACAGAGUGACAUCAGCCGUGUUAGCCAGACCCAGGAUGUGGACGUGCACUGGAAGGGUUCGACUCCAGGGCAAAUCCAGGCGGAGGGUAUGGAGGUGGAGCUACCGUCUGUCACCACACAAACCAUUAAGGAAGCCUUUCCCCUUUAAGGGCUGUCAUUGCAGUAGUAAUGAGUGGCUCAUUUAGCAGAGAUUCCCAGAGGAAGCAAGGAGAGCGAAGUUGAAUUAUGCCCCAUCUACACAUACCCAGGUAUGUGCUGGAGUUUAACAAGAUGUAGCCCAGGAAUACCAAGAGAAAAGAAAUCAACACAUUUAGGAAGCCAAACUCACUGGUGCCAAAUGCUUUGUUGUUAAUAAAAACGUUUGUUCAAAAAGGCCCAGUGACAUUCAGGGAAUCACGAGCUGAAAUCUCCCACCGUUGGCUUUGGUCUCUUGAAUUUCAAAGUUUCUUUGGCUCCUUAAGCCUUGAGUGACAUUUCAGUUUGAUAAACAGCUCACCUCCUAUGGUUAAUGCUUGUAGCAGGAAAGAACAAUUAGCCAGCCACAAAUAUUUCUGUACCCGCCUGCCUCCCUGGAGAAAAAUGCAAGGCUUUCAAAAAUGCCAAAACAUUUCCUUUAGUUAAGCACCAUGGAUGGCCAUAAUCAUAGCAGAGUCUUUCACUUUAACGCAUUAGCAAUUAGCUUUGGUUAAAGAAAUAAAAACAGAAACAAUUCUUUUAACCAUAGGGCACUUUAGUAAAAUGGGUACGCACAUACAGACUUGCUAGUGGAACAGACUUGGGUUCAGAACCAAGGCUCCCUGCAUGCUAGCU